rnacentral:rRNA from 1 species
GGUAACAGGGGAGCUUGCUCCCGCUGACGAGUGGCGAACGGGUGAGUAAUGCAUCGGAACGUGCCGAAUAGUGGGGGAUAACGCACCGAAAGGUGUGCUAAUACCGCAUACGCCCUGAGGGGGAAAGUGGGGGACCGCAAGGCCUCACGCUAAUCGAGCGGCCGAUGUCGGAUUAGCUAGUUGGUGGGGUAAAGGCUCACCAAGGCGACGAUCCGUAGCGGGUCUGAGAGGAUGAUCCGCCACACUGGGACUGAGACACGGCCCAGACUCCUACGGGAGGCAGCAGUGGGGAAUUUUGGACAAUGGGGGAAACCCUGAUCCAGCCAUGCCGCGUGUCUGAAGAAGGCCUUCGGGUUGUAAAGGACUUUUGUCCGGGAGGAAACCCUGAUCGUUAAUAGCGGUCGGGACUGACAGUACCGGAAGAAUAAGCACCGGCUAACUACGUGCCAGCAGCCGCGGUAAUACGUAGGGUGCAAGCGUUAAUCGGAAUUACUGGGCGUAAAGCGUGCGCAGGCGGUGAGAUAAGUCAGCUGUGAAAGCCCCGGGCUCAACCUGGGAACUGCGGCCGAAACUGUCUCGCUAGAGUACGUCAGAGGGGGGUGGAAUUCCACGUG